AGUCGAACGGUAACAGGAAGCAGCUUGCUGCUUCGCUGACGAGUGGCGGACGGGUGAGUAAUGUCUGGGAAACUGCCUGAUGGAGGGGGAUAACUACUGGAAACGGUAGCUAAUACCGCAUAACGUCGCAAGACCAAAGAGGGGGACCUUCGGGCCUCUUGCCAUCGGAUGUGCCCAGAUGGGAUUAGCUAGUAGGUGGGGUAACGGCUCACCUAGGCGACGAUCCCUAGCUGGUCUGAGAGGAUGACCAGCCACACUGGAACUGAGACACGGUCCAGACUCCUACGGGAGGCAGCAGUGGGGAAUAUUGCACAAUGGGCGCAAGCCUGAUGCAGCCAUGCCGCGUGUAUGAAGAAGGCCUUCGGGUUGUAAAGUACUUUCAGCGGGGAGGAAGGCGAUAAGGUUAAUAACCUUGUCGAUUGACGUUACCCGCAGAAGAAGCACCGGCUAACUCCGUGCCAGCAGCCGCGGUAAUACGGAGGGUGCAAGCGUUAAUCGGAAUUACUGGGCGUAAAGCGCACGCAGGCGGUCUGUCAAGUCGGAUGUGAAAUCCCCGGGCUCAACCUGGGAACUGCAUUCGAAACUGGCAGGCUAGAGUCUU
rnacentral:rRNA from 1 species